GAUGAACGCUGGCGGCGUGCCUAAUACAUGCAAGUCGAACGCACAGCGAAAGGUGCUUGCACCUUUCAAGUGAGUGGCGAACGGGUGAGUAACACGUGGACAACCUGCCUCAAGGCUGGGGAUAACAUUUGGAAACAGAUGCUAAUACCGAAUAAAACUUAGUGUCGCAUGACACAAAGUUAAAAGGCGCUUCGGCGUCACCUAGAGAUGGAUCCGCGGUGCAUUAGUUAGUUGGUGGGGUAAAGGCCUACAAGACAAUGAUGCAUAGCCGAGUUGAGAGACUGAUCGGCCACAUUGGGACUGAGACACGGCCCAAACUCCUACGGGAGCUGCAGUAGGGAAUCUUCCACAAAUGGGCGAAAGCCUGAUGGAGCAACGCCGCGUGUGUGAUGAAGGC
rnacentral:rRNA from 1 species